GGCUUAGAGUUUGAUCCUGGCUCAGAUUGAACGCUGGCGGCAUGCUUUACACAUGCAAGUCGGGCGGCAGCAUGGGAGCUUGGUUCUGGUGGCGAGUGGCGAACGGGUGAGUAAUAUAUCGGAACGUACCCAGUAGUGGGGGAUAACGUCGCGAAAUUUGUGCUAAUACCGCAUAUUCUGUGAGGGGGAAAGCGGGGGAUCUUCGGACCUCGCGUUCUUGGAUUGGCCUAUGUCUGAUUAGCUAGUUGGUGAGGUAAAGGCUCACCAAGGCGACGAUCCGUAGCUGGUCUGAGAGGAUGAUCUGCCACACUGGGACUGAGACACGGUCCAGACUCCUACGGGAGGCAGCAGUGGGGAAUUUUGGACAAUGGGGGCAAGCCUGAUCCAGCCAUUCCGCGUGAGUGAAGAAGGCCUUCGGGUUGUAAAGCUCUUUCGGCGGGGAAGAAAUGGUCACUGCUAAUAUGGGUUGUUGAUGACGGUACCUGCAUAAGAAGCACCGGCUAACUACGUGCCAGCAGCCGCGGUAAUACGUAGGGUGCGAGCGUUAAUCGGAAUUACUGGGCGUAAAGCGUGCGCAGGCGGUUUUGUAAGUCAGAUGUGAAAUCCCCGGGCUCAACCUGGGAAUUGCGUUUGUGACUGCGAGGCUAGAGUGUGUCAGAGGGGGGUAGAAUUCCACGUGUAGCAGUGAAAUGCGUAGAGAUGUGGAGGAAUACCGAUGGCGAAGGCAGCCCCCUGGGUUAGUACUGACGCUCAUGCACGAAAGCGUGGGGAGCAAACAGGAUUAGAUACCCUGGUAGUCCACGCCCUAAACGAUGUCAACUAGGUGUUGGAAGGGUUAAACCUUUUAGUACCGCAGCUAACGCGUGAAGUGACCGC
rnacentral:rRNA from 1 species